rnacentral:lncRNA from 1 species
AUGAUAUGCAACAGCCUGAGUGUCACUCUCCUGAUUACACGUAAGUUCUUUCUGACGCUAAUUGAGCACGGGAAACCUGGAGGCACAUCCCUGGCCCUGGGAGUGGGAGUGCUGAGGGCAUGGGUAGGGAACCUUGAGUGGCUGCAGGAUGCAGCUUGUCCUCAGGACCUCCGCCUCACUCAGCGAUGGUGCCAGGGCUCUCAGGACCUCCGCCUCACUCAGCGAUGGUGCCAGGGCUCUCAGGACCUCCGCCUCACUCAGCGAUGGUACCAGGGCUCUCAGGACCUCCGCCUCACUCAGCGAUGGUACUCAGCGAUGGUACCAGGGCUCUCAGGACCUCCGCCUCACUCAGCGAUGGUACCAGGGCUCUCAGGACCUCCGCCUCACUCAGCGAUGGUACCAGGGCUCUCAGGACCUCCGCCUCACCCAGCGAUGGUACAGGGCUCUCACGACCUCUGCCUCACUCAGCGAUGGUGCCAGGGCUCUCAGGACCUCCGCCUCACCCAGCGAUGGUGCCAGGGCUCUCAGGACCUCCGCCUCACUCAGCGAUGGUACCAGGGCUCUCAGGACCUCCGCCUCACUCAGCGAUGGUACUCAGCGAUGGUACCAGGGCUCUCAGGACCUCCGCCUCACUCAGCGAUGGUACCAGGGCUCUCAGGACCUCCUCCUCACCCAGCGAUGGUGCCAGGGCUCUCAGGACCUCCGCCUCACCCAGCGAUGGUACCAGGGCUCUCACGACCUCUGCCUCACCCAGCGAUGGUACCAGGGCUCUCACGACCUCUGCCUCACUCAGCGAUGGUACCAGGGCUCUCACGACCUCUGCCUCACUCAGCGAUGGUACCAGGGCUCUCAGGACCUCUGCCUCACUCAGCGAUGGUACCAGGGCUCUCACAACCUCCGCCUCACUCAGCGAUGGUACAGGGCUCUCACGACCUCUGCCUCACUCAGCAAUGGUACCAAGGCUCUCAGGACCUCCGCCUCACUCAGCGAUGGUACAGGGCUCUCAGGACCUCCCACGGAGGGAACAGUUCCGAGUGCAGAUCCACCAGAAAUGAAGCUGAGAUUGCAGACAUCUGCACUCCCAGCAUUGUUCACCAUGUCCGUGAUGGAUAUGUGGGUGAAGAAAAUGUGGCAUAUGGAACACCGUUCAAUCUUACUGAACACACUGCAAGAAGCCAGCAGGUCAGGUAG